GUGCCAGCAGCCGCGGUAAUACGUAGGUGGCAAGCGUUGUCCGGAUUUAUUGGGCGUAAAGCGAGCGCAGGCGGUUUUGUAAGUCUGCUGUGAAAGCCCUCAGCUCAACUGAGGAAGUGCAGUGGAAACUGUCGAACUUGAGUGCAGUAGAGGUAAGUGGAACUCCAUGUGUAGCGGUGAAAUGCGUAGAUAUAUGGAAGAACACCAGUGGCGAAGGCGGCUUUCUGGUCUGUUACUGACGCUGAGGCUCGAAAGCAUGGGGUAGCGAACAGGAUUAGAUACCCUGGUAGUCCAUGCCGUAAACGAUGAAUACUAGGUGUUGGAGGGUUUCCGCCCUUCAGUGCCGCAGCUAACGCAUUAAGUAUUCCGCCUGGGGAGUACGACCGCAAGGUUGAAACUCAAAGGAAUUGACGGGGGCCCGCACAAGUGGUGGAGCAUGUGGUUUAA
rnacentral:rRNA from 1 species